rnacentral:rRNA from 1 species
GACGAACGCUGGCGGCGUGCUUAACACAUGCAAGUCGAACGGAAAGGCCCUGCUUUUGUGGGGUGCUCGAGUGGCGAACGGGUGAGUAACACGUGAGUAACCUGCCCUUGACUUUGGGAUAACUUCAGGAAACUGGAGCUAAUACCGGAUAGGAGCUCCUGCUGCAUGGUGGGGGUUGGAAAGUUUCGGCGGUUGGGGAUGGACUCGCGGCUUAUCAGCUUGUUGGUGGGGUAGUGGCUUACCAAGGCUUUGACGGGUAGCCGGCCUGAGAGGGUGACCGGCCAUAUUGGGACUGAGAUACGGCCCAGACUCCUACGGGAGGCAGCAGUGGGGAAUAUUGCACAAUGGGCGGAAGCCUGAUGCAGCAACGCCGCGUGCGGGAUGACGGCCUUCGGGUUGUAAACCGCUUUCGCCUGUGACGAAGCGUGAGUGACGGUAAUGGGUAAAGAAGCACCGGCUAACUACGUG